CCUGGACCCGAAGCGGGAUGAUCUAGCCCUGGGCAGGUUGAAGCGCGGGUAAGACCGCGUGGAGGACCGAACCCACUUAGGUUGAAAACUGAGGGGAUGACCUGGGGCUAGGGGUGAAAGGCCAAUCAAAUUCCGUGAUAGCUGGUUCUCUCCGAAAUGCAUUUAGGUGCAGCGUCGGUCGAUUGCGUCGCGGGGGUAGAGCUACCGGAUGCUUGCGGGCCCUUGUUGGGUACCAACAGCAGCCGAACUCCGAAUACCGUUGACGUGUAUUCCGGCAGUGAGUCGGCGGGGGAUAAGCUCCGUCGUCGAGAGGGAGACAGCCCAGACCGUCGUCUAAGGUCCCGAAGCGUGUGCUAAGUGGGAAAGGAUGUGGAGUCGCAUAGACAGCCAGGAGGUUGGCUCAGAAGCAGCCAUCCUUGAAAGAGUGCGUAACAGCUCACUGGUCUAGUGGUUCCGCGCCGACAAUGUAGCGGGGCUCAAGCACACCACCGAAGACGCGGCAGCAAUCUUCAUGGUUGCUGGGUAGGAGAGCGUCCUGCGAGGGGCGAAGCGGCCGGGUGACCGUGCCGUGGACUUCGUGGGAGUGAGAAUGCAGACAUGAGUAGCGAGAGACGGGUGAGGAUCCCGUCCGCUGGAUGACCAAGGGUUCCGGGGCCACGUUCGUCGUCCCCGGGUGAGUCGGGUCCUAAGGCGAGGCCGACAGGCGUAGUCGAAUGGAUGAACGGGUGGAUAUUCCCGUACCGACCAUGGACCGGCAAAACCGAGACGGUGAGUACUAACCUCCGCCUCGUGGUGGUUCCUUCCUUCGGGUUGGUUCCGCCGCGUGGUGUUGGGAGCGUAGCCGUAGUAGGUCAGCGCAGGGGUGACACGGAAUGGGAGCCGGCCGCGGAGGUGGUUUUCCGUGGUCAAGCACGCAGCCAGUCAUGUAGGCAAAUCCGCAUGGCGCGCAUGGCGAGGUGUGAUGAUGGGAGCCGUUAUGGCUCGAUAUCCGGUUGUCCAGGCCGUCGAGAAAAGCCUCGGCGUGAGGGCCAUGGCCGCCCGUACCCCAAACCGACACUGGUGGUCAGGUAGAGAAUACCAAGGCGAUCGAGCGAAUCCUGGUCAAGGAACUCGGCAAAUCACUCCCGUGCCUUCGGUAUAAGGGAGACCCGCUGGGGUGAAGGACCUUGCGUCCGGAGCUUUGGUGGGUGGCACAGACCAGGGGGUAGCGACUGUUUACCAAAAACACAGGUGCAUGCGAAGGCGAAAGCCGCUGUAUAUGCACUGACGCCUGCCCGGUGCCGGAAGGUUAAGAGGAUCCGUCAACUCUUCGGAGCGAAGCGGUGAAUUCAAGCCCCGGUAAACGGCGGUGGUAACUAUAACCAUCCUAAGGUAGCGAAAUUCCUUGUCGGGUAAGUUCCGACCUGCACGAAUGGCGUAACGACUUCCCCACUGUCUCGACCAGGAGCUCGGCGAAAUUGCAGUACGAGUAAAGAUGCUCGUUAAGCGCAGAAGGACGAAAAGACCCCGGGACCUUUACUAUACCUUGGUAUUGGCGUUAGGCGCGGAUUGUGUAGCAUAGGCGGGAGGCUUCGAAGCGUGGGCGCCAGCUCAUGUGGAGCCGCAAGGUGAAAUACCGCUCUGUUCUCGUUUGACGUCUAACCUCGACAAGUCAUCCUUGUCAGGGACAGUGCCUGGCGGGUAGUUCAACUGGGGCGGUUGCCUCCCAAAGAGUAACGGAGGCGCUCAAAGGUCCGCUCAGCCCGGUUGGCAAUCGGGUGUCGAGUGUAAUCGCACAAGCGGGCUUGACUGCGAGGACGACGGUCCGAGCAGGGACGAAAGUCGGAGAUAGUGAUCCGGUGCCGGCGCACGGGCGCGGCAUCGCUCAACGGAUAAAAGGUACCCCGGGGAUAACAGGCUGAUCAUUCCCAAGAGUCCAUAUCGACGGGAUGGUUUGGCACCUCGAUGUCGGCUCGUCGCAUCCUGGGGCUGGAGCAGGUCCCAAGGGUUCGGCUGUUCGCCGAUUAAAGCGGCACGCGAGCUGGGUUCAGAACGUCGUGAGACAGUUUGGUCUCUAUCCUCUGCGCUCGUUGGAAUCCUGAGGAGGCCUGCCCAUAGUACGAGAGGACCUGGGUGGACGAACCUCUGGUAUGCCGGUUGUCGCGCCAGCGGCACGGCCGGUUGGCUACGUUCGG
rnacentral:rRNA from 1 species